AAGUCGUAACAAGGUUUCCGUAGGUGAACCUGCGGAAGGAUCAUUAUUACGUAUCCACGUAUAAACCAACUGUGAACUGUCUUCCGCUCAGUGUGUAGGUUAAUGAUUUAGCUACGCUAAGGUUCAAAGUUAGUUGAACUGUAGUCAUUUCGCUGCCUCUUUUGGCAGGACCUUGCACUGAGGCUGGUUAAACUAACUAUCAAUUUAUUAUUAACCUUUUGUACUUAACUUCGAACUAACUAUGUUUCGAGUUUCUGUGGACUCUUCGGAGCUCGCAGAGCACGAAAUUAAUUUACGUAACUUGAACAACUCUUAGCAACGGAUAUCUUGGCUCUC
rnacentral:misc_RNA from 1 species